rnacentral:miRNA from 1 species
UGCGAAGUAGAGAUGCCGACU